rnacentral:lncRNA from 1 species
AACCACAAGUGGUAGGUCAAUGAUAUUUGGUAUGUAGUUGUGUAAGCAUCGGCACAUCUCAUUUCCAUGGAGAUAAUUUAGCUCCGCCCCCUUAGUUAUGGUCUUAUGACUUUGAAACUUUUGCUUAUUUUACAUGUAUUAGUUUGUGAUUAGGUCAGUUUAUGGGGAACUACAAGUGGUAGGUCAAUGAUAUUUGGUAUGUAGUUGUGUAAGCAUCGGCAUAUCUCAUUUCCAUGGAGAUAAUUUGGCUCUGCCCCCUUAGUCAUGGUCUAUUGACUUCGAAAAUUUUUCUGAGUUGUCAUGUAUUAGUUUGUGAUUAGGUCAAUUCAAGGGGAACCAUUAGUGGUAGGCCAAUGUUAAUUGGUAUUCAGUUGUAUAAGCAUUGGCACAUUUCAUUUCCAUGGAGAAUAUUUGGCCUCACCCCUCAGUCACAGUCUAAUGACUUUGAAAC